rnacentral:rRNA from 1 species
UCGGGGACAGUGGCGAACGGGUGAGUAACACAUGAGAAACCUGCCCCAAAGACCGGGAUAAGCCUUGGAAACGAGGUCUAAUACCGGAUACCUUCUUUUUAUCACAUGGUAAAAAGAAGAAAUGCUCCGGCGCUUUGGGAUGGUCUCGUGGUCUAUCAGCUUGUUGGUGAGGUAAAAGCUCACCAAGGCAUCGACGGAUAGCUGGUCUGAGAGGAUGUCCAGCCACAUUGGAACUGAGAUACGGUCCAAACUCC